CCGACCGCGGGAAAAUUGGAUUGUUGAUCGCGGGCUCAGGUAAUGAAACGUUUGGCAGGCGUUGCUUAACACAUGCAAGUCGAGCGAGAAAGUCCUUUGGGGAUGAGUACAGCGGACGAACAGGUGAGUAAUAUAUAAGAAUCUGCCUUUAAGUGAAGAAUACCUUUGGGAAAACCAAAGUUGAUGCUGCAUAAGUCCCUUUCGGGGAGAAAAGAUGGCCUCUUUGCUGUCGCUAAAAGAUGAGCUUAUAUUCUAUUAGUUAGUUGGUGGGGUAAAGGCCUACCAAGACUAUGAUGGAUAACCGGCCUGAGAGGGUGUACGGUCACAUUGGAACUUAGAUACGGUCCAGACUCCUACGGGAGGCAGCAGUGAGGAAUAUUGCACAAUGGGCGAAAGCCUGAUGCAGCGACGCCGCGUGGAGGAUGAAGGUUUUCGGAUUGUAAACUCCUGUUAAGUGGGAAAAAAGACCUGCCAUGAAUAAGGGCGGGUGAUGAUGGUACCGCUAAAGAAAGCACCGGCUAACUUCGUGCCAGCAGCCGCGGUAAUACGAGGGGUGCAAACGUUAUUCGGAAUUAUUGGGCGUAAAGGGUGCGUAGACGGCGCUUCAAGUCAAUUAUUAAAUCUUUUGGCCUAACCAAAAGCUUGUGGUUGAGACUGUUGUGCUAGAGGAUGGAAGAGAGAAGUGGAAUUCUCGGAGUAGCGGUAAAAUGCGUAGAUCUCGAGAGGAACACCGAUGGCGAAGGCAGCUUCUUGGUCCAUUUCUGACGUUGAAGUACGAAAGCGUGGGGAGCAAACAGGAUUAGAUACCCUGGUAGUCCACGCUGUAAACGAUGAUCACUAGAUGUCAGGUCCGAUUUUGGAUUUGGUGUCGCAGCUAACGCGUAAGUGAUCC
rnacentral:rRNA from 1 species